AGCAUGAAAUGAGAUCCUUGUUUCCUCUCGCUGGAAGUUCCUGGCAGCUCACACACUGAGAGAAAAGAGUGGCAGCUCUGCUUUCUCUCCCACUAUUCUUAGUCAAGUCAUUCAGCUCAGCCAGGUCCUGAGCAGAGCCAAUAAUGGCCACUGCACAGAUCUGUGAUGAAGAUGUGGAGAACAAGAGAAAAGCAUCCAGUGCUGGGGCUGACGGUUGCCAUAGCAACCACAUGAUACAACAAGAGAAGGAAGGGAGAGGAGUCAGCCAUUUUGGCUCAACAGUCGCUCCUUCCAUCCCCCAACAUCUGCAGCACCACAAAGAUCACCUGCAAUGGAUGAGGACCAGGAGCAAAGCUUCUUUGGGAGUGCUGCAGUCCUGCUGAAUGUUACCACUCAGACCAAGACAGAGAAUUUUUUCUCUCUGUUCACUCCGAGGAAAAAUUCCACACAACGUCCGGUGCAGUGUCCAAGAGGAGGGCAGAGUGAGCAUGUGAUGUGUCAGUAGUUAAAAUAACAGUGGAAACAAUG